rnacentral:hammerhead_ribozyme from 1 species
AUUCGGUGGACGAGUCCCAAAUAGGACGAAACGCGCGUCCUGGAU